rnacentral:rRNA from 1 species
AGUGAACGCUGGCGGUAGGCCUGACACAUGCAAGUCGAACGGCAGCACAGUAAGAGCUUGCUCUUACGGGUGGCGAGUGGCGGACGGGUGAGGAAUACAUCGGAAUCUACUUUUUCGUGGGGGAUAACGUAGGGAAACUUACGCUAAUACCGCAUACGACCUACGGGUGAAAGCAGGGGAUCUUCGGACCUUGCGCGAUUGAAUGAGCCGAUGUCGGAUUAGCUAGUUGGCGGGGUAAAGGCCCACCAAGGCGACGAUCCGUAGCCGGUCUGACAGGAUGAUCAGCCACACUGGAACUGAGACACGGUCCAGACUCCUACGGGAGGCAGCAGUGGGGAAUAUUGGACAAUGGGCGCAAGCCUGAUCCAGCCAUACCGCGUGGGUGAAGAAGGCCUUCGGGUUGUAAAGCCCUUUUGUUGGGAAAGAAAAGCAGCAGGUUAAUACCCCGCUGUUCUGACGGUACCCAAAGAAUAAGCACCGGCUAACUUCGUG